rnacentral:tRNA from 1 species
CGGGAUAGCUCAGUUGGUAGAGCAGAGGACUG